AGAGUUUGAUCAUGGCUCAGGGUGAACGCUGGCGGCGCGCUUAAUGCAUGCAAGUCGAGCGUGUCCGUGGCUUCGGCCACAAUGGAAAAGCGGCAGACGGCUGAGUAACACGUGAGUAACUUGUCCUUUGGUGGGGUAUAGCCUCGGGAAACUGGGGAUAAUCCCGCAUAAGACCGGUAAGCCUUGGUUUAACGGUGAAAGCUUGAUGCGCCAGAGGAGAGGCUCGCGUCCUAUCAGGUAGUUGGUUAGGUAAUGGCUCACCAAGCCUAUGACGGGUAGCUGGUCUGAGAGGAUGACCAGCCAGAGGGGGACUGAGACACGGCCCCCACUCCUACGGGAGGCAGCAGCAGGGAAUCUUGGGCAAUGGGCGAAAGCCUGACCCAGCGACGUCGCGUGGGGGAUGAAGGCCCUAGGGUUGUAAACCCCUUUCCCAGGGAAGAGAGAG
rnacentral:rRNA from 1 species